CCCGUGGUUCUCACAAGAGCUCCUACCUCCUCUGUUCUUUUAAUCUCCUGCUGCGGGUGGCAGACAUGGGAGAGACAGGCAAGCUGCAAAGGGAAGUCGACGAAAUAAAAUUAAAGCCCUACAAUCGUGUUCGUGUCAAUGUAGAUGGGGUGCCCCCCUCGGUUUGCUCACAGAGGUGGGUGUGAGAUCCUACAGGACGGUCUGGAAGACAUCCCAUGGAAGGCACUUUAUUUUGCCCAGAAGCUGGAGGAAAAGCAGAAGAGUGCUGAUUGGUGCAUUUACAAUCCUUUAGCUAGACAGAAAAGUUCUUCAAGUCCCCACUUGACCCAGAAAGUCCAGCUGGCUUCACCUCUUAAAACUACUCCACCUGAGGUUUUUAGAUCAAAAAGAAUUGUACUCAAGGAAUUGAAGCUAUGGAGCCUCUGCCACAUCUGGACCUGAUUUUGAUGACAAGAUCCUGUACCUCAAGCCCGAGACUAAUUUCAUAAUUUGAUGAAUCUUUUUGGAGAGUCAUGGGAGGAAUGUAAACAAUUUGUGGCCAAAGGAGAAUUAUGGUAGUUUGAAGAUGUGGAUACAAAUUAUUUGACAUUCUUCUCAUAGAAAGGUGAUGCUUAUGUCUCCACCCCUUGUAAACAAGCUGGCUUGUGACUUUGACCUAUAGUGUAUGGUGGGAGUGAUGCUGUGGAACUGGAAUUACUAGCAUCAGGAAACCUACUUGCUACAGACCCAACAACGUGCAAUGAUCAGAUCCCAAUUUAGACUGUAAAAAGACCAAUAUCAGAGACUAAGAACUGAGAUCAAACAUACCUUCUUCCUGUACCAAACAGUUCUGGGGCCAAAUAUUGUCUACUGUCUCUAUGCUAACUAGUACUGAAACCAGGCAAAAUUAACUACUUAGCCGCUUGUUCCAGGAAAUACCUGCUCUCGGAAGAAAUAAGUUAACCCACCUGUAUUAGUCUGUUUUCUGCUGCCAUAACAGAACAUUACAGACUAGAUAAUUACUUUGAAAAGUUUAUUUGACCCACAGUUCUGGAAGCUAGGAAAUCCAAGAGGAUGGCACUGGUGUCUGGUGAGGGUCAUGUUAUAGUGGAGGAGUGGAGGAUGGAAGCAAACACAUGAGACAGAGAGAGAAAUCAGGCCAGACUUACUUCUCUAACAAACCCCAUCUCAAUAACUAACUCAUUCCUAUGAUAAUAGCAUUAAUUAUCUCAUGAAAGCCCUCAUAACCUAAUUACCUCUUAAAGACCCCACAUCAAUAAAAUAUCAACAUGAGUUUUGGAGGGGACGUAUAUUUAAAUAAUAGCACCAACUAAAGAGCUUACUUACCUUGCUCAUCAAGACUUUCUUCAAGACUUUCAUCGUGUUGUUUCUAUCUACCCCAAACUAUUAUUUCAUACCCUUUGUUCCAUCCCAACUAAUUUUAGAUGCUACGGUCUGAAUGUUGAAAUUCAUGUAUUGAAACCUAGUCACCAAUUUAUGGUAUUAGGAGAUUGUCCUUUGGGAGGUGAUUGGGCCACAAGGGCUUCACUCUCAUUAAUGGAAUUAGUGUUCUUCUAAAAGAGGCUGCAGAGAGCUGCGUUUUCUCCUCCAUUGUGUGUGAAGGCAGUGAGAAUUUGUUUGCAAUGAAUCAGGAAAUGGGCCCUCACCAGACACCAGCACUUUGAUCUUAGAUUUUCCAACCUACAGAACUGUGAGAAAUGAAUUUCUGUGGUUUAUACCACCAACUUAGGGUAUUUUGUUAUAGCAGCCAGAACAGAUGAAGGAACUCCACCUUGCCUUAAAAUGACUCAUUUCAGGCCCCGAAAUCCCAUAAACACUUUCCCUUGAUGUCUUCCUUUUGAGAUACUAUUAAUAUUCUGUCAAGGUAGUAGUCUGCUUUAAUAUAAUCAGCUAGUUUUUUUUUUUAACCAAUAGGUUUUUCUGGUGGGUUUGUGUGUGUGUGUGUGUGUGUGUGUAGCUAAUAGUCAACAUCACCUUAUCAAGAACAACUGUCUGAAUAUUAACUUACUUAGGACGUUUGUCUAGGGAGAUGUUGAUGUGUGGAUGAGUUUAAUCUUAUUAAUGCUCCACAUGGGUAUUCUAAGGCUGAGUCAAGGCAUUUUUCUAACAUAACAUGACAGCAUUAAAUGAUCCAUUUCUAGUGUGUUUUUAUUCCACACCACACAUUUGUAGACCUAGGACUACAAACAUUAUCUAUGUCAUUAUAAUCACAUUUUUUGGUCCUUUCUAACUCAUUAUUCACAGGAUGUUCCUGGAACCAGGACCUAUAUUUAACACUAAUACUGUCAUAAAAAUAAUCCACUAUUGCAAUUUACAUGUUCACAAAAUACUACUCUUUUGUAAACAAAGUAAAUUUUCUAACUGUAAUUGAACAUCAAAUUCAAGGCCAGAUUCCCUAAGGUCAAUUCAAUUACAAUUUACACAGUUAAUGGAGUAACUUAAAGCACACAUACAUUUACACACAUUCAUACAUACUUCUUUCAAAACUGUACUCAGAAAAACACUUUCCUGCUUACCACUGAAGGCAUAUAUUGCUACUGGCAUCUAGGCAUUUUUGUUUGGGUAAUCUACCUGAGUAAGGCAAGGCUUUUAAUGGAUGAGAAUAAAUGACUGUGUCAAGCUAAAAGUUUCAAGAUCUUUCAAGUUUCAUAAAAAUGAAUCUUUAAGUGUUCUCAGAAUGCAAAAUUGGAGCUGCAAUUGGAUAUCAAAUCAGUUGCAAAAAGUGUGCAGCAGCUGUUGCUCAAGUUGAGACUCAGCUUGCAGUUUUGCAAAGAAGUUUCAGGAAUAGUUUGUUUGGCCUUGUCCCAUCUUCUGAAAUAAUCUGAUCAGGCAUGAAUUUCUUAAAAGGCUGCCAAUUUGGUAGUGAGAAUUUGCUCAUACUUCUCCUGAACUUUACCUUCACAGCCUCUUAAGAGAUGCUCACAUAUUAGUCCAACUCACGGGAGCAUAAAGACGGCUGGUCCCUCUUCAUCAGGUUUGGAGGAAUCUGAUGAAUUUUAGGUGCCAUUAUUGCUGAGAAGGGAAUCAUAUUCUUUUAAAUACAAACUUCACAGUGAUUAAAAACAAAAAUUAUAAACAAGCAACUCCUAAUUGUUUCCAUUUCUGAUAAUGGUUUUAUUCCUCUUUUCUAAUCUGAAAAAAUGCACUCCAGGGUGGGUUGAAUGGUGUCACUUGCUGCCAGCAGGGUUGGUUGCCGUGACAUGGUAGCUGUGGGUGGGGUCCAAGGUGACAAGAGAGACUUCCACACCUAGCUGAAUCACUUCCACUCCAAGGUCCACGUAAUCCACAUCAUCCCAUGUCCUGUUUCUGAGGGUCAGAGACUCAGUGGACAUUCCUGACCCACUGCUCCUCAGUGGGGCUCAAUAUCCCGAUUUUAUAAUUUUUUAAAAAAAAGAAAACAAAAAUAAAACCAAAAAUAAACAAUCACUCGUUCUCUACUUACAUGCAGUGACUGACUCUCAUUUAGCUUGAUUUGCCCAAUUUAUUCAUAUCAAUUAAUUGGAUAAUGAGUCACCAACAGUCUUUAGGUUUUACAGAACCAUUAUCCUCAUUUCCUAAUUUACUUCCAGGGAAAUGAUAUAUGUAAACAUUUUCUCAAAAACGGGGGAGUGUAUCCAUUUUUCAAUAUAUACAAAUCAUUAUUUUUUCAUUCCAACUCCUAUCUCAAAAUAUGCAAAUGUUUCCUGAAGUUCUCUUAGGAUAUUUGUCUAUUUAUAGCUCCCCUUCCCCUCUAUUUAACACUGUUUUGAGGUGCUGUUUCUAAAAUGCAAAUCUGACUCCUCCAGUCACACUUCCAGGUUUAAAAGUCUUCGCAGCUUUCUAUCACCUUUAAAACAGGAUCCCAAGUGUCCUCCCUGCUCUGGGCCCUGACCAGGUCUGUCCACCACCCGGCACGCAUCUUUAAACUUGCAUUUUUCUGACUUGCAUUUUCUUCCCUCACCCCCUGGCUCAUUCACAAACUGCUCCCAUUGUUUACAUUGCUUUUUACCAUGGGUUCUCCUGGCACAUGUUUAUCUAGUGGCUGGUUCAUUCUUCUCUGGGGCCCCAAAUCUUCUUAGCAGUGGUUCCAGAUUACCUCUUCCUCAGUGUUUCUCGGUAGUUUAGGUGUCCCUCUUCUGAGGUCCUCUCUCAGAAUUGCCACGCUGUGUGGCCAUCACUGACUUAGUUUUCCAUCUCUCCUUCCUCACAAGAAGCUCUUUCAAGACAGGAACCGCCUUUUCUUUGUGAAUGCUCAGAAUUCCACUAGUGCCAGGCACAAAGGGAGCUCUCAGCUUCUCUGUUGAGUGAAUGAAAUGAAUGCAUGAGGGGUUCUAAAGAACUGUGUAGCCUUUCACAAGCAAUGUCCUCCAUUACAGAGGGGGUAGGACUGCCUUUCUACUCUUGGGGAAAGCUCUGUGCCAUCAAACUUCAGAUAUUUCAAAGUCAGUGCUUUUAGGAGAAAAUAUUCCAUUGGAGCCUAGAAAGCUGCAAGAGGUAACAGGCAUGCAAGAGAAAGGGUCCCGUUCAUCCUGGAUCAUGUCUGGCUCUUGGUAAAAAGACACAAGAUGACUGUCUUUUUUAUUCUUUUUUAGUGAAUCUUUUUUUAUUCUUUUUUAGUGAAUCUUUAUUAGUUUAGCAAAUAAUUUUUGAGCACUAUGUGCCUGGCACUGGGGAUUCAAUAACAAACAAAAUAUAUGUGAUCUGUCUUCACCAAGUUGAAAUGGAUCAUGAGUGAAAAACAUUAAAUUCUCAAGCAAAUGACUGCUAAGUUCCAGGCAAUUGGGGUAAAGGUUGUGAAGAAGAUGCAGAGUAUCCUGAGAAGCUGCAAAUUUUACUUUUUGUAGAUACAUGAGCCACAUUUCUUCAUUCCAAGAAAAUAUUUUAUUAAUAUGUUCAACCUGAUCUGUUGGGACAGUAAAGACUUCUCCAAGAAUGGCCUAUGAAUUAAUUUAAGGAUGGUGGGUGGGCAAAAUGAAUUUAGGAACAGCAUGCACAGAAGCCCUGCAAAAGAGAAUGGAAACAAGGAUAUUAUCCCUGGAGUGUGGUGAAUAAGGAGUAAAGUCAGAGGGGGUAGGGCUUGGUGAUGCCCCUUCGUAAUCACUUGCUGACUCACUGAACAAGUCUUGAUCACUCAAGCCCUUGCUGCGUUUGCAAUAAAGUCUUGCAGAUUUAAUCCAUAGACAAAUGGAAAGCUUCUGAAGGUUUUCAGCAGAGGAGUUGCAAGUUUGCAUUAUGCUCAUUUAAAAGUAUUGUUCUGGCUAUUGUUUGGAGUGAAGGAGCAGAGAAGGUAACUCCAUAGCUGGGAGCCAAGUCUCGAAGCCCCAUGAGGGGAAGUGGAUACAUCUCAGAAUUGGGUUUCCUGAUACACACGACUGCAUCCUUCAUCUGCCAGGCCCUGGCAUUGUUUACUGGAGAAGAUGUCAUAGGAAAUUGGGCUAUGUCAUUGAGCCACUGGAGUCACACAUGAACAGCCAUUUGGAGAUUCUGGAAUUGAUGGUUCAGAUGAAGACAUGGAAGCAUAAGAAAUUGCCAAUAUUCACUUUGGGAGACCGAGACGGGCAGAUCACCUGAGGUCAGGAGUUCGAGACCAGCCUGGCUAAUAAGGAGGAGGAAAUUUGGAAUGCACAGAGACACUCCAGGUGAACGAGCACAGAGGAGAGGUCGUGUGAGGACAUGGUGAGAAGGUGGCCAUCCUUGAGGCCAGAAAGAGAGGCCUCAGAAGAAACCAAACCUGCUGACGCCUUGAUCUUGGACCUCCAGCUUCCAGAACU
rnacentral:lncRNA from 10 species